ACUCCUACGGGAGGCAGCAGUGAGGAAUAUUGGUCAAUGGGCGGAAGCCUGAUGCAGCAACGCCGUGUGAGUGAAGAAGGUUUUCGGAUCGUAAAACUCUGUCCUAAGGGAAGAAACAAAUGACGGUACCUUAGGAGGAAGCCCCGGCUAACUACGUGCCAGCAGCCGCGGUAAUACGUAGGGGGCAAGCGUUAUCCGGAAUCACUGGGCGUAAAGGGUGCGUAGGCGGCUUAGCAAGCCAGGGGUGAAAGGCAUUGGCUCAACCAAUGUAAGCCUUUGGAACUGUUAAGCUUGAGUGCAGGAGAGGUAAGUGGAAUUCCUAGUGUAGAGGUGAAAUUCGUAGAUAUUAGGAGGAACACCAGUGGCGAAGGCGACUUACUGGACUGUAACUGACGCUGAUGCACGAAAGCGUGGGUAGCGAACAGGAUUAGAUACCCUGGUAGCACAGAG
rnacentral:rRNA from 1 species